UACGUAGGGGGCUAGCGUUGUCCGGAAUCAUUGGGCGUAAAGCGCGUGUAGGCGGUCCGGUAAGUCCGCUGUGAAAGUCGAGGGCUCAACCCUCGAAUGCCGGUGGAUACUGUCGGGCUAGAGUACGGAAGAGGCGAGUGGAAUUCCUGGUGUAGCGGUGAAAUGCGCAGAUAUCUGGAGGAACACCAGUGGCGAAGGCGGCAUCCUGGACCGGUAUUGACGCUGAGGCGCGAAAGCUAGGGUAGCAAACGGG
rnacentral:rRNA from 1 species